UACAGAGGGGGGGGCAAGCGUUUGUUCGGAAUUACUGGGGCGUAAAGGGCGCGUAGGCGGCCCUGUUAAGUCGAACGUGAAAUCCCCCCGGGGGCUCAACCCCGGGGAACUGCGUCCGAUACUGGCAGGCUUGAAUCCGGGAGAGGGAUGCGGAAUUCCAGGUGUAGCGGUGAAAUGCGUAGAUAUCUGGAGGAACACCGGUGGCGGA
rnacentral:rRNA from 1 species